rnacentral:lncRNA from 1 species
CCUUCUUCACUAAGUUCUUUGAAUUUUUCCUUUUGUUGAAGCUUGUAUGUUGAAGCUUUGUGAGUGAAGCAUAUAGGUUGAGGUAGUGCUCCCAUAAUUUCCCAAGUGAGGAAAACUUCUCGUUUGGAGACUUGAAAAAUCCAAGUCACUGAAUGGUCGUAAGACUUCUGAGUAUCAAGGUGCAGUAGCAUAUGGUAGGAGUCCCCCAAGUCUCCGGUCAAGGGAGUUGACGAAUGAGGCAUUUCCUUUCUAAGUGGUAGCCCAAAACUCCUUUUUCAUAUAUAUUUGUUAUGAAAGUUGUUAGGCCCAAAGAAGAAGAGGCCUAGGCAAUUUUUUUUUUCGAUUUUUGUUUCGAUUUUUCAAAUUUUUUAAUUUUCAAAUUUUCGAAAAGAAAAA